rnacentral:miRNA from 1 species
ACCCGAGCGGAUUGAGCAAACU